rnacentral:rRNA from 1 species
CCUGCCGAUAACUCUGGAAUAGCCUUUCGAAAGAAAGAUUAAUACCGGAUGGCAUACGAAUAUCGCAUGAUAUUUUUAUUAAAGAAUUUCGGUUAUCGAUGGGGAUGCGUUCCAUUAGUUUGUUGGCGGGGUAACGGCCCACCAAGACAACGAUGGAUAGGGGUUCUGAGAGGAAGGUCCCCCACAUUGGAACUGAGACACGGUCCAAACUCCUACGGGAGGCAGCAGUGAGGAAUAUUGGUCAAUGGGCGAGAGCCUGAACCAGCCAAGUAGCGUGAAGGAUGAAGGCUCUAUGGGUCGUAAACUUCUUUUAUAUGGGAAUAAAGUUUUCCACGUGUGGAAUUUUGUAUGUACCAUAUGAAUAAGGAUCGGCUAACUCCGUGCCAGCAGCCGCGGUAAUACGGAGGAUCCGAGCGUUAUCCGGAUUUAUUGGGUUUAAAGGGAGCGUAGGUGGAUUGUUAAGUCAGUUGUGAAAGUUUGCGGCUCAACCGUAAAAUUGCAGUUGAAACUGGCAGUCUUGAGUACAGUAGAGGUGGGCGGAAUUCGUGGUGUAGCGGUGAAAUGCUUAGAUAUCACGAAGAACUCCGAUUGCGAAGGCAGCUCACUAGACUGUUACUGACACUGAUGCUCGAAAGUGUGGGUAUCAAACAGGAUUAGAUACCCUGGUAGUCCACACAGUAAACGAUGAAUACUCGCUGUUUGCGAUAUACAGUAAGCGGCCAAG